CGAAAUAAACAUAAGACCACUUUGCGACGAGGUCAGGCCCGGGCACUCCCUUUGUUUCCGGACAUUUUCAACAAAUGACUAGUUCAUCCGUCCGGUCGUAUCAACACUUGAUGAAGAACAUGCAAUCACAUCGUCUGACAUUUUGAUAGAUAUUAAAAGCAGUAAAUGAUGUCAGCAUGUCCACGAUGACGUCAACAAUGGUGUCUGCAGUGUUUUACAACAACAAUGGUGUCUGCAAUGUCAACAAUGCCACAGAACGAGUGUGUCAGGUCUUAUUACAUGUGUGCCUCAUAUGUGCUUUUUCAGCUGGCUUAUCUUUAUAUUGAAGUCUCUGCUGUAUCACCCCAUGGCUUGUUUGAAAAGAGGACUAAAUUUGUCAAAAGUAUUAUUACAGUUAAAUGGUCCUGGGGACAAAUUUGCUUUGUCCCAUUUAUCCUGUUUCGACGAUGAAAAAUGAAUGAAGCGAUUUAGAUGCCCUGUCAGUCACGAGUGCCUUGGUACACAUUCUUGACACGAUCACCAGCCAUUAUAUACCAUUUCCUACUUACGAUCACUGAAGAGAGGUUUAUCCCUGAGUUUGAAUAUGAAUUUUGUUUUACACUGUAAGCAAUUUGCCGCAAUAUCCUGACAAUAAAUAAUCCAGUCAGGUCAAGCCAACUUGUAGUUGAAAGUGUGAUCCAUGCCAUUGGGGAAUGAUGACAUGUACCAGGUGGCACUUUGUAGCCAUCCCAUCCUCAUUAGACAGUUCCUCACUAGACAAGCUACCCAUGAAGAUCCGGGGUAGAAUAGGUCUUCAGCUUGCCGUAAAAGGCGACUAUGCUUGUCCCUAAAGGCAACUAACAGGAUCCAGCAUGUAAUCGUAUCCCAACUGCGUUGAUCAAUGCUCAUGAUAUCAAUCACUGGACUGUCUGGUCCACACUCAAGAGAUCAAGGCUACUACAUCCCGCCUGCUUACCAUCACCUUAUUGCUAAAUCCCUAUGUCCAACCAAUUAAUCCACUGGCUUCAAAUCUCUAUCAGUCUGCUUGCUGACUCUGUGUCCAUUAGAAAAUUCACUGGCUUCCAUUCACUGGCUUCCAAUCAUCCCAUGUCAGCUUCCGUGGUUGUUUACCCUGUCCCAUUAGUCAUUCACUGGCUUCCAAUCAUCUUAAUCAGCUCUCUGUGUCCAUCAAUCAAUUUACUGUAUAAACAUUGAUGUUAAUAAGUAUAUAUACCUAUGUUGUUCAGCACUAU